UUUUCGUAUAUAAAAUUAUUUUUAUUUUUUUUUAUUGUAAAGAAAAAAAAUCACUUGAUACUGCGUGAAAAGUAACUUAAUAACGUUAUGGCCGCAUCAAAUUUCCCUUACAUACAUUUAAUACAAACAUUAGUUUCGGUUUGUCACGCCUUUUGGAAAUUAGUUGCGCUAAUAAAAAUUAUCAAGGAAAUAAUCUUUGAUUUUAUAUAAAUAUGCGCAGAGGUUUCAAUAUCGAUAUUACUUGGCGAAUAGUCUCAUUUAAACUAUCAACAAAAUGGCUUAUACUAUUGCAACACCUUUGUUUUUAUUACUUGGACUCAUAGGCAUGCUAUUCUUUCAGCAAUCUAUGGCCUGCAAUUUUGAAGAGGACCCGGCGUGCGUAUAACAUUUGAAUUUCUAACAGCUGCUCACAUAAUAUGAUAAAAUAAAUAUAAAUCCGAAAUAUAUUCAUAUGUGCAAUAGUGCCUGUUUUAAUAAAAAUUAAUAUUUUUCUAGCGAA